GGUCUUUUGUUUAUAUAAAAGAUUUGGCCUGCCCAAUGAUUUAUAUUUAAUGGCUGCAGUAUUUUGACUGUACAAAGGUAGCAUAAUCACUUGUCCUUUAAUUAAGGUCUAGAAUAAAUGGUUUGAUGAAAAAUAUACUUUCUUUAUUUUAUAGGAAAAAUUUAAUUUUUUAGUUAAAAAGCUAAAAUAUAUUUAUAGGACGAGAAGACCCUAUAGAACUUUAUUUUUUAUUUUAUAUGUUUGGUUUAGAUCAUAUUAUAAUAUAUGAAAGUUAAAUUUUGUUGGGGUGACAGAAAAAAAUUCAUAACUUUUUCUAUUUUUAUCAUUAUAAGUGAAUUUUUGAUCCUUUUUUAUGGAUAAAAGAUUAAGUUACCUUAGGGAUAACAGCGUUAUUAUUUUGGAGAGUUCAUAUCGAUAAAAUAGUUUGCGACCUCGAUGUUGGAUUAUAAUAAGAUAUGGAGGUAGAAUGUCAUAUUCUAGGUCUGUUCGACCUUUAAAUUUUUACA
rnacentral:rRNA from 1 species